CAAUAGCGUAUAUUAAAGUUGUUGCGGUUAAAAAGCUCGUAGUUGGAUUUCUGCUGAGGACGAUCGGUCCGCCCACUGGGUGAGCAUCUGGCUCGGCCUUGGCAUCUUCUUGGAGAACGUUGCUGCACUUGACUGUGUGGCGCGGUAUCCAGGACUUUUACUUUGAGGAAAUUAGAGUGUUUCAAGCAGGCGCACGCCUUGAAUACAUUAGCAUGGAAUAAUGAGAUAGGACCUUGGUUCUAUUUUGUUGGUUUCUAGAGCUGAGGUAAUGAUUAAUAGGGAUAGUUGGGGGCAUUCGUAUUUAACUGUCAGAGGUGAAAUUCUUGGAUUUGUUAAAGACGGACUACUGCGAGAGCAUUUGCCAAGGAUGUUUUCAUUGA
rnacentral:rRNA from 1 species